UACGGGGGGAGCAAGCGUUGUUCGGAUUUACUGGGCGUAAAGGGCUCGUAGGCGGCCAACUAAGUCGGAUGUGAAAUCCCCAGGCUUAACCUGGGAACUGCAUCCGAUACUGGAUGGCUUGAAUCCGGGAGAGGGAUGCAGAAUUCCAGGUGUAGCGGUGAAAUGCGUAGAUAUCUGGAGGAAUACCGAUGGCGAAGGCAGCCCCCUGGGCCAAUACUGACGCUCAUGCACGAAAGCGUGGGGAGCAAACAGG
rnacentral:rRNA from 1 species